CCCACUUCUUAUCCCCCCUCGACCAUCCCACGUUACUUCACUCCUGAUGAAGGGUUUCGGCCUGAAACGUCGUCACUACCUCCUCCCAUAGAUGCUGUCUGGCCUGCUGAGUUCUCCAGCAUUUUGUGUUUUCACACUACCUCAUUAUUUUUUUUCAUUUUUUUGCUCCUUUAGCGCUAGUUAUUUAAUUUGUUUUUUUUUCAGGCAGGAUGCCUAAGACUUCUGCACACAGUGUUAAAUUUGUCAACAUGGAGCGGAGAGCGAGUUUGUAAAUCUGGCGGGAGCAAAGGAUGUUGGGAAUGCUUCCCCCCUCUCCUUUUUGUUUCUUUCUCUCUGCCCAUUACUCUGCCUGUUCUCCAUCUCCCUCUGGUGCUCCCCUCCCCAUUUCUUUCUCCAAAGGCCUCCCAUCCUAUGACCCUUUCCCUUCUCCAGCUCUGUAUCACUUUCACCAAUCACCUUUCCAGCUCUUAGCUUCAUCCCACCCCCCCCAGGUCUUCUCCUAUCAUUUCGCAUUUCUCCCCUCCCCCCACUACUUGCAAAUCUCUUGCUAUCUUUCCUUUCAGUUAGUCCUGACGAAGGGUCUUGGCCUGAAACGUCGACACUGCUUCUCCCUGUACAUGCUGCCUGGCCUGCUGUGUUCCACCAGCAUUUCGUGUGUGUUGUUGUCUGAAUUUCCAGCACCUGCAGAUUUCCCUGGUGUUGGCAGAAAGUUUGUAAACUCAGUCAGUUCCAUCGUGGGCAUCGGCCUGCCCCAGCAUCCAGGACGAGACCUUGGAAGAAGCUACGUGACAAUUUUAACACCGUAAAGCAGCGAGUCGUUUUGUUAUGUCACCCCUCUAGCUGUGAAAACGGGGACAUCUCUUUUUCCCUUAUUAGGGAGGGGGACAGAGCCUGUGGUGAUGUCUCAAAACGGCAGCGUCCAUCAUUAAGGACCCCCACCACCCAGGGACGUGCCCUCUUCUCAUUGCUACCAUCAGGGAGGAGGUACAGGAGCCUGAAGGCACACACUCAACGAUUCAGGAACAGCUUCUUCCCCUCUGCCAUCAGGGAGGGGGUACAGGAGCCUGAAGGCACACACUCAAUGAUUCAGGAACAGCUUCUUCCCCUCUGCCAUCAGGGAGGAGGUACAGGAGCCUGAAGGCACACACUCAACGAUUCAGGAACAGCUUCUUCCCCUCUGCCAUCAGGGAGGAGGUACAGGAGCCUGAAGACACACACUCAACGAUUCAGGAACAGCUUCUUCCCCUCUGCCAUCAGGGAGGAGGUACAGGAGCCUGAAGACACACUCUCAACGAUUCAGGAACAGCUUCUCCCCUCUGCCAUCAGGGAGGAGGUACAGGAGCCUGAAGGCACACACUCAACGAUUCAGGAACAGCUUCUUCCCCUCUGCCAUCAGGGAGUAGGUACAGGAGCCUGAAGACACACACUCAACGAUUCAGGAACAGCUUCUUCCCCUCUGACACCAGAUUUCUGAAUGGACAAUGAACCUGUGAACACCACCUCACUACUUUUUUGUUCUCUUUUUGCACAACUUACUGAAUAUAGAUGUUUAAAUAAAUAAAUAUACUAUGAUGCACAGUUUUAUAUUACAGUAUUUUGUGUUGUAAUAUAGUGCCGUUGCAUAACAACAAAUUUCAUGACAUAUCCUAGCACUGUUAAACCGGAUCUCGAUGAUUUAUUUUUAAUUUUUAUAUGUACGCUUAUUUGAUUUCAUUUACAUUUUUGGUUUAAUUCAAGUGUUUUUGUAAUUUACUGUUUUUAUCGUUAUGUACUGCAUUGAACUGCUGCUGCAGAGGUGAUAUUAAACCCGAUUCUGAUGUGCAA